rnacentral:rRNA from 1 species
CGAAAGCCUGACGGAGCAACGCCGCGUGAGGGAUGAAGGCCUCUGGGCUGUAAACCUCUUUUAUCAAGGAAGAAGAUCUGACGGUACUUGAUGAAUAAGCCACGGCUAAUUCCGUGCCAGCAGCCGCGGUAAUACGGGAGUGGCAAGCGUUAUCCGGAAUUAUUGGGCGUAAAGCGUCCGCAGGCGGUCUUGUAAGUCUGUCGUUAAAGCGUGGAGCUUAACUCCAUUUGAGCGAUGGAAACUGCAAGACUAGAGUGUGGUAGGGGCAGAGGGAAUUCCCGGUGUAGCGGUGAAAUGCGUAGAUAUCGGGAAGAACACCAGUGGCGAAGGCGCUCUGCUGGGCCAUAACUGACGCUCAUGGACGAAAGCCAGGGGAGCG